rnacentral:rRNA from 1 species
AGUGGCAGACGGGUGAGUAACAUGUAGGUAUCUGCCCUUUGGCCUGGAAUAACACGAGGAAACUUGUGCUAAUACCGGAUAAGUCUUUACGGAGAAAGCUUUAUGCACCAUUGGAUGAGCCUGCACUUGAUUAGUUUGUUGGUGGGGUAAUGGCCUACCAAGACUGUGAUCAAUAGCUGAUUUGAGAGGAUGAUCAGCCACAUUGGGACUGAGACACGGCCCAAACUCCUACGGGAGGCAGCAGUGGGGAAUCUUGCACAAUGGAGGAAACUCUGAUGCAGCGAUGCCGCGUGAGUGAUGAAGGCCCUUGGGUUGUAAAGCUCUUUCGUCGGGGAAGAAAAUGACUGUACCCGAAUAAGAAGGUCCGGCUAACUUCGUGCCAGCAGCCGCGGUAAUACGAAGGGACCUAGCGUAGUUCGGAAUUACUGGGCUUAAAGAGUUCGUAGGUGGUUGAAAAAGUUGGUGGUGAAAUCCCAGAGCUUAACUCUGGAACUGCCAUCAAAACUUUUCAGCUAGAGUACGAUAGAGGAAAGCAGAAUCUCUAGUGUAGAGGUGAAAUUCGUAGAUAUUAGAAAGAAUACCAAUUGCGAAGGCAGCUUUCUGGAUCAUUACUGACACUGAGGAACGAAAGCAUGGGUAGCGAAGAGGAUUAGAUACCCUCGUAGUCCAUGCCGUAAACGAUGUGUGUUAGACGUUGGAAAUUUAUUUUCAGUGUCGCAGCGAAAGCGAUAAACACACCGCCUGGGGAGUAC